UGCCAGCCGCCGCGGUAAUACGGAGGGGGCGAGCGUUAUUCGGAAUUACUGGGCGUAAAGGGCGCGUAGGUGGCUAGAACAGUCGGGUGUGAAAGCCCCGGGCUUAACUCGGGAAUUGCAUUCGAUACUAUCUAGCUAGAGUGCAGUAGAGGGAAGCGGAAUUCCGGGUGUAGCGGUGAAAUGCGUAGAUAUCCGGAGGAACACCAGUGGCGAAGGCGGCUAACUGGCUCGGUACUGACGCUGAGAUGCGAAAGCGUGGGGAGCAAACAGGAUUAGAUA
rnacentral:rRNA from 1 species